CAAGCCUCCAUUAUCAAGUCUCUCUAUAUUAAAGCCUGAAAAAGAGUAUUAAGGAACUCUGACAGAUUUUCAUGACGCCUAAGGUCCUCACCAAAACUGCCCAGGCUUGGAAUGUCCCUGAAACCUCCAUAAAGAACAUCAAUAAUUCUAUGUACAUGUUUUCUGCAACUUUCUUGUAAUUCAUAUUAAAUAAUAAAACCAUAUAUGUAGCAA